GGAUGUGUGGCUCAGUGGAAAGAGCAUGGGCUUGGGAGUCAGAGGUCAUGGGUUCAAAUCCCAGUUUAGCCA
rnacentral:tRNA from 1 species